ACGGGAGGCAGCAGUGGGGGAUAUUGCACAAUGGGGGAAACCCUGAUGCAGCGACGCCGCGUGAGGGAAGAAGGUUUUCGGAUUGUAAACCUCUGUCUUCAGGGACGAUAAUGACGGUACCUGAGGAGGAAGCCACGGCUAACUACGUGCCAGCAGCCGCGGUAAUACGUAGGUGGCGAGCGUUGUCCGGAAUUACUGGGUGUAAAGGGAGCGUAGGCGGGUAUGCAAGUUGAAUGUGAAAUCUAUCGGCUCAACUGAUAGGCUGCGUUCAAAACUGUAUAUCUUGAGUGAAGUAGAGGCAAGCGGAAUUCCUGGUGUAGCGGUGAAAUGCGUAGAUAUCAGGAGGAACACCGGUGGCGAAGGCGGCUUGCUGGGCUUUUACUGACGCUGAGGCUCGAAAGCAUGGGUAGCAAACAGGAUUAGAUACCCUGGUA
rnacentral:rRNA from 2 species